rnacentral:rRNA from 1 species
CUACGGGGUGCAGCAGUGGGGAAUAUUGGACAAUGGGCGAAAGCCUGAUCCAGCAAUGCCGCGUGAGUGAUGAAGGCCUUAGGGUUGUAAAGCUCUUUUACCCGGGAUGAUAAUGACAGUACCGGGAGAAUAAGCUCCGGCUAACUCCGUGCCAGCAGCCGCGGUAAUACGGAGGGAGCUAGCGUUGUUCGGAAUUACUGGGCGUAAAGCGCACGUAGGCGGCUUUGUAAGUUAGAGGUGAAAGCCUGGAGCUCAACUCCAGAAUUGCCUUUAAGACUGCAUCGCUCGAAUCCAGGAGAGGUCAGUGGAAUUCCGAGUGUAGAGGUGAAAUUCGUAGAUAUUCGGAAGAACACCAGUGGCGAAGGCGGCUGACUGGACUGGUAUUGACGCUGAGGUGCGAAAGCGUGGGGAGCAAACAGGAUUAGAUACCCUAGUAGUC